rnacentral:misc_RNA from 1 species
AAAUCAAUGGAUGCCACCGCCGUUCAACGACCCGAUUCGUUUGGUCGGUUUGGAAAGUUCGGCGGUAAGUAUGUACCGGAAACUCUAAUGCACGCUCUUGAUGAGCUGGAAACCGCCUUCAAUUCGCUCGCUACAGACCAGGACUUUCAGAAGGAACUAGAUGGGAUAUUAAGAGAUUAUGUUGGCAGAGAGAGCCCUCUUUAUUUUGCUGAGCGACUUACUGAGCAUUAUAAACGUCCAGAUGGUGAAG